rnacentral:rRNA from 1 species
CAGUCGCCACGGUAAUACGUAGGGUGCAAGCGUUAAUCGGAAUUACUGGGCGUAAAGCGUGCGCAGGCGGUUAUAUAAGUCAGAUGUGAAAUCCCCGGGCUCAACCUGGGAACUGCAUUUGAGACUGUAUGGCUAGAGUGUGUCAGAGGGGGGUAGAAUUCCACGUGUAGCAGUGAAAUGCGUAGAUAUGUGGAGGAAUACCGAUGGCGAAGGCAGCCCCCUGGGAUAACACUGACGCUCAUGCACGAAAGCGUGGGGAGCAAACAGGAUUAGAUACCCCUGUAGUCCCUGUCUCUUAUAA